AUGACAAGCCGCAACCAACUUUCGGACAUGCCGGAAACAUAUGCUGGACAUGCCGGAACCGCUUGCAGGAUACGCCAGACCAGGAGGUGGAAACGCCAGAACCAGGCGUUUGACACUCCUGUAAUACCUGCCAGGCAAGCCUGAACAACUUGCCGGACACACCUGAACCACCCGUUGGACACACCUGAAUCACCCGCAAGACACGCUUGAUCCACCCACCAGAAACACCAGAACCACCUGCCGGACAUGUCAAAAUCACCUCCUGGGUAUGCUGGAACCAUGUGCCAGACACGCCAGAACCACCUGCCGGACAUGCCAGAAUCACCCGCCAGACACGCUGGAAUCAGGUCCCGGACACACAGGAACCACCUAUCAGGCUGGAACCACAUACCGGAUACUCCAGAACCACCCGCUGGAUAUGCCGGAACCACCAACUGGACACACAGGAACCACCUGCUGUGCAUGCCAGAAACACUCGAUGGGCACGCUGGAACCACCUUCCGGACAGGCUUGAACCACCUGCCGGACAUGCCAGAACCACCUGCCAGAAACGCUGGAACCACAUGUCGGACACGCCAAAAUCACCUGCAGUAUACGCUGGAACCAGGCCCCAUAUAUGCUGGAACAACCUGCCGGACAUGCUGGAACCACCCUCCAGAAACGCUGGAACCACCACCCGGACACAUCAGAACCACCUGCCAGAUAUGCAGGAAUCAGGUCCCGGACAUACCAGAACCACCUACUAGACUGGUCAGAACCACCUACUGGAGUCUCCACAACCAUGCGCCAGACAACCAGAACCACCCACUGGAUACACCAGCAUCAGGUCCUCGACAUGCUGCAACCACCUGCUGGACACGCUGGAUCCACCUGUUGGAUACACAAGAACCCGGUUCCCCACACGCCAGAACCAGGUGCUGGACAUGCCUGAAGCAGCUGCCACACAAGCCUGAACCACUUUACAGACAUUCCGGAACAACAUGAUGGACAUGCCACAAACAGG
rnacentral:lncRNA from 1 species